UGCGUAGGCGGACUAAUAAGUCAGUGGUGAAAUCUCUCGACUCAACCGGGAAACUGCCAUUGAUACUGUUAGUCUUGAGUUCGGUUGAGGUAGGCGGAAUGUGUAAUGUAGCGGUGAAAUGCUUAGAUAUUACACAGAACACCAAUUGCGUAGGCAGCUUACUAGACCGACACUGACGCUGAGGCACGAAAGCGUGGGUAGCGAACAGGAUUAGAUACCCUGGUAGUC
rnacentral:rRNA from 1 species